rnacentral:rRNA from 1 species
CUACCUCCGGGUGGAGGAUAACGUCCCGAAAGGGGCGCUAAUACUGCAUAAGACCACGUCCUGAAACGGAUGAGGUCAAAGCCGGCCUCUAUAUAUAAGCUGGCGCCUGGAGAUGAGUCCGCGGCCCAUCAGGUUGAUGGUAGGGUAAUGGCCUACCAUGCCUAAGACGGGUAGCUGGUCUGAGAGGAUGAUCAGCCACACUGGAACUGAGACACGGUCCAG